rnacentral:rRNA from 1 species
UACGUAGGGGGCAAGCGUUGUCCGGAAUCAUUGGGCGUAAAGCGCGCGUAGGCGGCCCUGUAAGUCCGCUGUAAAAGUCAAAGGCUCAACCUUUGAAAGCCGGUGGAUACUGCAGGGCUAGAGUCCGGAAGAGGCGAGUGGAAUUCCUGGUGUAGCGGUGGAAUGCGCAGAUAUCAGGAAGAACACCCGUGGCUAAGGCGGCUCUCUAGUACGGUACUGACGCUGAGACGCGAAAGCGUGGGGAGCGAACAGG